rnacentral:rRNA from 1 species
GGAGUUAGCCGGUGCUUCUUCUGUGAGUGAUGUCCUUCCUGCCGGCUAUUAACCCGCAGGCCUUCUUCCUCACUGAAAGUGCUUUACAACCCGAAGGCCUUCUUCACACACGCGGCAUGGCUGGAUCAGGGUUGCCCCCAUUGUCCAAUAUUCCCCACUGCUGCCUCCCGUAGGAGUCUGGGCCGUGUCUCAGUCCCAGUGUGGCUGAUCAUCCUCUCAGACCAGCUACGGAUCGUCGCCUUGGUGAGCCGUUACCUCACCAACCAGCUAAUCCGACAUAGGCUCAUCCGAUAGCGCGAGGCCCGAAGGUCCCCCGCUUUCCCCCGUAGGGCGUAUGCGGUAUUAGCCUGGGUUUCCCCCAGGUUAUCCCCCGACUACCGGGCAGAUUCCUAUGCAUUACUCACCCGUCCGCCGCUCGCCACCAGGGAGCAAGCUCCCCGUGCUGCCGCUCGACUUGCAUGUGUUAGGCCUGCCGCCAGCGUUCAAUCUGAGCCAUGAUCAAACUCUGA